UCGGGAAUAUUGCGCAAUGGAGGAAACUCUGACGCAGUGACGCCGCGUGCAGGAAGAAGGUUUUCGGAUUGUAAACUGCUUUAGACAGGGAAGAAGAAGUGACAGUACCUGUAGAAUAAGCUCCGGCUAACUACGUGCCAGCAGCCGCGGUAAUACGUAGGGAGCGAGCGUUAUCCGGAUUUAUUGGGUGUAAAGGGUGCGUAGACGGGAUAACAAGUUAGUUGUGAAAUCCCUCGGCUUAACUGAGGAACUGCAACUAAAACUGAUAUUCUUGAGUACUGGAGAGGAAAGUGGAAUUCCUAGUGUAGCGGUGAAAUGCGUAGAUAUUAGGAGGAACACCAGUGGCGAAGGCGACUUUCUGGACAGAAACUGACGUUGAGGCACGAAAGUGUGGGGAGCAAACA
rnacentral:rRNA from 1 species